CGAACGCUGGCGGCGUGCUUAACACAUGCAAGUGGAGCGACGAACCAGGGCUUGCCUUGGGGCAGAGCCGCGAACGGGUGAGUAACACGUGGGUUACCCGCCUCGAUGACCGGGACAACCCGAGGAAACUCGGGUUAAUACCGGAUGUGCCCGCAAGGGGAAAGGAAGCUUUGGCCUCCGCAUCGAGAUGGGCCCGCGGCCCAUUAGUCUUGUUGGUGAGGUAAUGGCUCACCAAGGCGACGAUCAGUAGCUGGUCUGAGAGGACUGAUCAGCCACUUUGGGAUUGAGACACGGCCCAAGGUCCUACGGGAGGCAGCAGUGGGAUCUCG
rnacentral:rRNA from 1 species